rnacentral:rRNA from 1 species
UACGGGGGGGGGGCAAGCGUUGUUCGGAAUUAUCUGGGCGUAAAGGGCUCGUAGGUGGCCAACUAAGUCAGACGUGAAAAUCCCCGUCAGCUUAACUGGGGGAACUGCGUCUGAUACUGGAUGGCUUGAGUUUGGGAGAGGGAUGCGGAAUUCCAGGUGUAGCGGUGAAAUGCGUAGAUAUCUGGAGGAACACCGGUGGCGAAGGCGGCAUCCUGGACCAAUACUGACACUGAGGCACGAAGGCCAGGGGAGCAAACGGGGAGUUAGAA